GAUGAACGCUGGCGGCGUGCCUAAUACAUGCAAGUCGAGCGAAGCGGGGACGGGUGAGUAACACGUGGAUAACCUCCUAUAAGACUGGGAUAACUUCGGGAAACCGGAGCUAAACCGGAUACUUAUCGCUGGAUCCGCGCUGCAUUAGCUAGUUGGUAAGGUAACGGCUUACCAAGGCAACGAGGCAUAGCCGACCUGAGAGGGUGACCGGCAAAACGGGAACUGAGACACGGUCCAGCCUCCUACGGAGGGCAGAAGUAGGGAACUUUCCGCAAUGGGGGAAAGCCUGACGGAGAAAGGCCGCUGGAGUGAGGAAGGUCUUCGGAUCGUAAAACCCGGUUAUUAGGGAAGCGGUACUUAAUCAGAAAGCCACGGCUAACUACGUGCCAGCAGCCGCGGUAAUAC
rnacentral:rRNA from 1 species